GACUCUGGGUUCCGCGCAGGCAGGCCGUGAAGGGCAGCAAGCGUGUGAUUGCCUUCAUCGGCGACGGAAGCUUUCAGGUGACAGCGCAGGACGUGUCGACGAUGCUGCGCGGCGGGCAGAACAGCAUCAUCUUCCUCAUAAACAACGGCGGGUACACCAUCGAGGUGGAGAUCCACGACGGGCCUUAAAAUGUCAUCAAGAACUGGGACUACACCGGCCUGGUGGACGCCAUCCACGAAGGUGCGACACGAGGAGGAGUUGAAGGAGGCGAUCGAGACGGCGAUGGGGUGGAAGCGGGGCUGCCUACGCUUCAUCGAGGUCAUCGUGCACAAGGAUGACACCAGCAAAGAGUUGCUGGAGUGGGGCUCCGGAGUCUGCUCUGCCAACAGCAGGGCACCAAAUCCGCAGCAGAAGUCGUCGCACUCGAGUGGCAACAAU